rnacentral:tRNA from 1 species
GCGCCCGUAGCUCAGUUGGAUAGAGCACAAACCUUCUAAGUUUGGGGCCCCAGGUUCGAAUCCUGGCGGGCGCACCA